rnacentral:lncRNA from 1 species
CAUGGCUCUCCCAUAACUAUCCAAAACAUCAUCUAGUACACGAGGGUACUCUAAUGCAUAAAGGAAAAGCUACUAACUAGGCUCACUUAGGGCGCUAUGCCCUUGCCGCGGUCCUCGCUCGGCUCGCCUCUAUGUGUACCUGUACCCCAAAACCACACGGGGUGAGAACUAUAUAAAUAUAGUUCCCAGUGGGUUCGGCCGCCGACGCCGCCGGUUUUCCCACUAGGUCUAAGCUGGCACAGAUAGAGAGAUAGAUAGAUAGAUAAAAGUAAACUGCGACUACUCUAUCAUGCCAUCAACGAUGAUAAUGCAUGCAACAACUACUAUCAUGCGAGAAUCAUGUCAUGAGUAUAGAAAAGUACAUAGUAAUGCAAUCUACAACAUACACUAUGUCUACUCGAGGUAAUGCAUGAACAUAGCAAUGAUAUUCUACUAAUCAUGAUACUAUGCUUCAACAAUAAUGGAAAUGAGCUACUACAUAGUGAUGUAUCUACAACAUGCUACUAUGUCUCAAUGUCAACUCAAGGUAUGAAUGCAAAUCUGCUAUGCCAUUCAUAUUCUUUACCCAAUCUGCUUGGAAAUGAGCUACUACAUAGUGAUGUAUCUGCACAUGCUACUAUGCCUCAAUAAUCCGAAUGAACGAGCUACUACAUAGUGCGUCGUGCAACUAUGCCUCGAUAGUAUCCAAUCUCAUGGCUAACCCGAAGGUUGCCACCCCGGGGUCAACCCCGACUCACUCUCAAUCUCAUAGGUGAGGAGAAUCUGCACUCGCACACCGAGACCGUCUGCGGGACAACUACGUCUGCCCCUAGUGAAGUACUCCGGAGACUCGUGCUUCGGUGGAGCGACCACCGACAAGCAAAAACAGACUAGUGAGUAUGAUCCAAUCCUCACAAGAGGAUACCCUAUCUACCAGGGUCAAUGUGCCUCUGCUGCACAAUACCAAAUGCAUAAUCAAUGCCUCAAAUGCACUAAUGCCAAAUGCAUAAUGUCUACAACAUGACAAUCGGGAAAAUCUACUAUCCCUAGGUUCAAAUGCCAUAGUGUUUCACUACACUAGAUUUGAUGCCACUCGUUUAUGUCAUGAUGUUAUAUGUGUCUUAAUACACUAAAUCGACAUGCCACUCGUCAAUAUUAUAGUGUCUUUAUUACACUAGUCCAAACGCCACUCGUCUAGGCCAAUUACAUGUCCAAGUUCAUCAUCAUUCUUGUCACUAUAGGAUUCUUGUCGCAAGACCCAAUCCUCAUGCAACCUAAGAUCAAGUGUCAAGCCCACAAUGCUACACAACCUAGGUAACAUGCAAGGAAUGGAAAUGUAAUCAUCUACUAAUCCUAUAAUGCACAAUAUAUCAACAUAUAGGAAUAUGAUCAACAUAUAGAACUUAGACAUAAAAGGAAGCUCAGUUGCUUCGGGAUGGACACCCCCCACCUUUUAAUGCUACCAAGAGGCUAGGGUUCCGAUUUCGUGAUUUUUGAAAGCUUUUGCCGCGAGCUGCGGCAAUCUAUACCUUAACGGCUUCGUUCUUUAAUAUCUUCACGUAGCCUCGUCGUAUCGCCGAACCGACUUCGCCAACGCGUCAGAAAACCUAGCAAUUAGGUUUAUACAUGAUCAAUUUAGAUCAAAACCCCUCACAAGCAAAACCCCUCUUUUGAUGCCCUAAGAUGCAAUUAUGUAAGAAUUCAUCAUUUGAUCUCUAAAUUCGAGCAUCAACUAUCUAUUUAGCAUCCAGGAGUUUCACUAAACCCAUUUCUAAGGCAUACAAAUCACUACUUAGCAAUUUACCAUUGUUGCUAUCAAAGCUUAC